AUACUUAUUUUGCUUAGGUGAUACCAUGGUCAUGAAGAUUGUUUUCCCAGGGUGAGGUUCAUUCAUUGCAUUCUGGGUAUGCUGACCUCUGUGAUUUCCCCAAAUGUGGGAAUCUCGACUGCAUAAUUUGUGGUAGGGAGGGGGGGGGGGACUGCAUUUGUGCUUUCCCCUG